rnacentral:rRNA from 1 species
GUAGGGAAUAUUGCGCAAUGGACGAAAGUCUGACGCAGCGACGCCGCGUGAGUGAUGAAGGCCUUAGGGUCGUAAAGCUCUGUUGAAUGGGAAGAAAAAAAUGACGGUACCAUUCGAGGAAGGACCGGCUAACUUCGUGCCAGCAGCCGCGGUAAUACGAGGGGUCCUAGCGUUGUUCGGAAUCAUUGGGCGUAAAGGGUGUGUAGGUGGCCAUGUAAGUCAGGUGUGAAAGCCCCGGGCUCAACCCGGGAAGUGCACUUGAUACUGCGUGGCUUGAGUACCGAAGAGGGUAGUGGAAUUCCAGGUGUAGUGGUGAAAUACGUAGAUAUCUGGAGGAACACCGGUGGCGAAAGCGGCUACCUGGUCGAGUACUGACACUGAGACACGAAAGCAUGGGGAUCAAACAGGAUUAGAUACCCGUGUAGUCC